rnacentral:sRNA from 1 species
CGCGGCUCCGCCACAGGGGCAGGUGUUGAGGGGCUCCCGGUCCGGCUGCCGCCGCUCCCCCGCUCCGGACCCGGGGCUCCCCCUAGCGCCGCUGAGGAGCCGCCUCUGCGGCUCGAGGAGGGCGCAGGAGCGGGACUGAGAGCGCCUGGAGGCUCGAGCGGAGGAUAGAAGGACAAGGACAGAAUCACCAGCACUGGCUGAAGGUAAAUAUGUCUUUGGGGGAAAUGAUUAUUCAAAUAUAAAUGAAAAGUUAUGAUUUCAGUAAAAACUUAUAUUAACUAUAUAUAAUUUAAGGGAAAUGUUCUAUACACAAUAUUGAGUUAGGAAAUAUUGAUUGUUUAGUUUUUGGCUUAGAAUAGGACCUGGUGGGGAAAAUGUAAAUUAAUUAGAACUUUUUUUAACAGCUUUCUUUCAAUAGGAGAGGUAUGUGUUUUCCUUUGAAUUAAGUCAUUUUAGCCGUCACCAGUAUAGUUGAUCAAGAAAGUUCUAAGCCGUAAUUUUAAUAGUUUAAAAUAUAUGUAUGUACAUAUAAUUUUUUU